rnacentral:lncRNA from 1 species
UUCGCAAGAUUGAUGAUAGUUAUUUUAGAUCAUCACGUGAUGACCACGUUAAGUUAAUUGAAAAAUUCGAGUGUUUUGAUGUCGCCGUAGUUAAGGUUGAGUUUUCUAGAAGAGGGAAUGAGAAUGGCUUUAAUUAUGCCAUUUUCGGUGACGGGGACCUCUUUCGAGGUAAAGAAGUGAUAAACAUCGGUUCUCCAAUGAAGUGGGGGUACACAUCUGUCCGUUGGGAGAUAUGUUUUUCCUGCGUGAACGAUAUAACAGUAGACGACAACGCUCCGACGAGUAGGAAAGUUUAUCCGAAUGUAGACCUUUGUACGGCUUGGAACGAGACGCUAACCUAUCGAAAGGCGGCAGGCGUUGUUCAUCGAUAUAAUCCAAAAUUGACUUCGUUCGGCAUAGAUGUUUCUCUAAUUCAGAUAAAUAACUUGCAACUGGAUAUGUUAUUGGUAUGGUAGUUUUUGUUUAGUCAAACGUGUACGUUGUGGUGCAUGUUGGUGUUUUAAGAUAUCUUCUUGAGACUACCGUGAAGCAUGACAAAAAGAAACAAAACUGAAAGAGGAGGAGAAAGAGCGGUUAUAACUAUCAUUUUUUAUAGUGGUUAGAAAUAUGUUUGUAAAAUAUGUUUGUAAAAAUAUGUUUGUAAGUAAAAUAUUUAAAGGGUUCAUAUAUAUAAUAUGAAAAAAAAUGACAAUUUAUAUUUAUUGAUAAACAUUAUUAUUUGAUUUUUAAGAAAAUAAUAUAUAAUAUAAAAUGAUAUGUAAGAAAAUAAUAUAUAAAAAUUUAAAAUAUUUACUAGCUCUUGGACCAAUCAAAACAUGAGAGAUUUUGGUUUAGCAGUAAAAAUGCAAAUAAAUAUUUAGGUAUGCAAAGAACCGGAUUUUGUGUUCAUCCGAACGGUUAUAUUCUUACUGUUGCAAAUUUAUUUCGCGAAACCAUCACUGACAUACAUAUUCGCAAGAUUGAUGAUAGUUAUUUUAGAUCAUCACGUGAUGGCCACGUUAAGUUAAUUGAAAAAUUCGAAUCUUUUGAUGUUGCCGUAGUUAAGGUUGAGUUUUCUAAAAGAGGGGAUGAGAAUGGCUUCAAUUAUGCUAUUUUCGGUGACGGAGACCUCUUUCGAGGUAAAGAAAUGAUAAACAUUGGUUAUCCAAUGAAGUGGGGGUACACAUCUGUCCGUGGGGAGAUAUGUUUUUCCUGCGUGAACGAUGUAAAAGUAGACGACAACGCUCCGAGGAUUAGAAAAGUUUAUCCGAAUAUAGACCUUUGUACGGCUUGGAACGAGACGCUAACCUAUCGAAAGGUGGCAAACGUUGUUAAUCGAUAUAAUCCAAAAUUGACUUCGUUCGGAAUAGAUGUUUCUCUAAUUCAGAUAAAUAACGUGCAACUGGAUAUGUUAUUGGUAUGGUAGUUUUUGUUGAGUCAAACGUGUACUUUGUGGUGCAUGUUGGUGUUUUAAGAGAUCUUUUUGAGACUACCGUGAAGCAUGACAACAAGAAACAAAAGUGAAAGAGGAAGCAAAAGAGCGGUUAUAACUAUCAUUUUUUAUAGUGGCUAGAAAUAUGUUUGUAAAAUAUAUUUGUAAAAUAUGUUUGUAAAAAUAUAUUUAUAAGUAAAAUAUUUAAAGGGUUCAUAUGUAUAAUAUAAAAAAAAAUGACAAUUUAUAUUUAUUGAUAAACAGUUAUUAUUUGAUUUGUAAGAAAAUAAUAUAUUAUAUAAAAUGACAUGUAAGAAAAUAAUAUAUAAAAAUUUAAAAUAUUUUCCAGCUCUUGGACCAAUCAACACAUGAGAGAUUUUGGUUUUACCAGUAAAAAUGCAAAAAAAUAUUUAGGCAUGCAAAGAACCAGAUUUUGUGUUCAUCCGAACGGUUACAUUCUUACUUUUGCAAAUUUAUUUCGCGAAACCAUCACUGACAUACAUAUUCGCAAAUAAGGUUGAGUUUUCUAGAAGAGGGAAUGCGAAUGGCUUCAAUUAUGCCAUUUUCAGUGACGGGGACCCUCUUUCAAGGUAAAGAAGUGAUAAACAUUAUUUAUCCAAUGAAGUGGGGAUAAACAUCUGUCCGUGGGGAGAUAUGUUUUCCCCGUGUGAACGCUGUAAUAGUAGACGACAACGCUCCGACAAGUAGGAAAGUUUAUCCGAAUGUAGACCUUUGUACGGCUUGGAACGAGACGCUAACCUAUCGAAAGGCGGCAGACGUUGUUCAUCGAUAUAAUCCAAAAUUGAUUUCGUUCGGCAUAGAUGUUUCUCUAAUUCAGAUAAAUAACGUGCAACUGGAUAUAUUAUUGGUAUGAUAGUUUUUGUUGAGUCAAACGUGUACUUUCCGGUGCAUGUUGGUAUUUUAAGAGAUCUUCUAAAGAUUACCGUGAAGCAUGACAACAAGAAACAAAAGUGAAAGAGGAAACAAAAGAGCGGUUAUAACUAUCAUUUUUUAUAGUGGCUAAAAAUAUGUUUGUAAAAUAUAUUUGUAAAAUAUGUUUGUAAAAAUAUGUUUGUAAGUAAAAUAUUUAAAGAAAUCAUAUGUAUAAUAUGAAAAAAAAAUGACAAUUUAUAUUUAUUGAUAAAUAGUUAUUAUUUGAUUUGUAAGAAAAUAAUAUAUUAUAUAAAAUGACAUGUAAGAAAAUAAUAUAUUAUAUAAAAUGACAUGUAAGAAAAUAAUAUAUAAAAAUUUAAAAUAUUUAAAUACUGAUUUGUUAAUUUCGUUCUAUUUAAUUUUAUUCUGUCUUUCCUCUCUUCCUUUUUUUUCACUUAAUUUUUUCUAUCUUUCCUUGCAUAAUUUUUGUAAAAUUUUUUUAGAUGGCUAACAUG